AUGCUGUUAAAUCAACUGAGAGAAAUCACAGGCAUUCAAGAUCCAUCCUUUCUUCAUGAAGCUUUAAAGGCCAGUAAUGGUGACAUCACCCAGGCUGUCAGCCUUCUCACUGAUGAAAGAGUUAAGGAGCCCUGUCAAGACACUGUUGCCACUGAACCAUCUGAAGUAGAAGGAAGUGCUGCCAACAAAGAAGUGUUAGCAAGUAGGUAUCUCCUGUCUUGGUCCUUCUUGAAACUAGCAGAAUAAUAAGAAUAAGUGCAUAUGAGUUCCCUGUCAAUCACAUCAACCCUCUGAGUAGUGAAUAUUGAGCCAUUACUAUGUGCCAGGCACAAUUCCAAUCUCUGAAAUGUUUUCAUUCAUUCAUUCAUUAUGUGGCACUCAUUCAGUAAGCACCAACUAUGUGUCAGGUACUUCUGA
rnacentral:lncRNA from 1 species